CUUCAGGCAUGGUGUUGGGGAGGUUGCACACAAACGGAGCAGAUUUCAGUGUAACAAUGCAUUCUCUAGGAUUUUCUGCAUUUCACUCAAUCCACCUGACCCCAGGCCAAAGCAUGCGUGCAGAAAAAUGGCGGAGCAGAGAGAUAACAAAAGAUGCAGAUGCUACAUGGUAUGACAUGGAAAUCUUGAAAGGUAAUUCUUUGCUUCAAGAAACAAAUGACUACAUCCAAAACUCACUUCAAGGAACCAGACCAUCCACUCGUUCACCCCCCAGGACUCACCGUACUAAUAGGCUUCUGUUGUCUUACUUCAGGUAAAUAGCCCUAACCUGUCUCUUUAGAUCUGGGAAUCUGUGUCCAAUCUCGGAAUAUUGAUAUAUAUGUAAUACGAAACCGUGAAAAGGUAAUGUUAUGCUAGCUUUGUUUUAUGUUUCUGUUUAUUUUCUCUUUCUCUAAAUGUAUCGUAUCCUAUAUGGCAUGCAUACUUCCUUCACUAUGUUGACUGAUACUGGGACUUUUCUGGUCCAUUGAUGUAUGACAUGCUUACGAAAAUCUUUAAUAAAAACAACUUUUAAAAAAAAAAAAAAA